UUAUUAUAAUAUUUAAAUAUAAUUUAUUAUAAAUUUUAUUAUAAUAUUUAAAUAUAAAUAAUAUGUAUUAAUACAUUACAAUUAAUAAUUUUAUAAUAAAAAUAAUGUAUUAUAAUAUAUAAAUAUUAUAUUUAUAUAACUUAGUUUUAAUUCAAUUUAUAAUUUUUAUUAAGUUUGAAAUUAAGUAUUGGAAUAGUACUAUUCCACCAAAAUGAUGGAAUAGCAAAUCGCUUGCUAUUCCGGGAUAAUCAGAAUAGCAAGGUUUGACUGGAAUAAAAUAUUCCGACCAAAUUUCACCCUGUUUGGCGGAAUAGCGGGGAUAACUUUUGUUAUCCCCACUUAUCCCCGGAACCAAACGG
rnacentral:lncRNA from 1 species